GACGAACGCUGGCGGCGUGCCUAAUACAUGCAAGUCGAACGAGAGCGACCGGUGCUUGCACUGGUCAAUCUAGUGGCGAACGGGUGAGUAACACGUGGGUAACCUGCCCAUCAGAGGGGGAUAACAUUCGGAAACGGAUGCUAAAACCGCAUAGGUCUUCGAACCGCAUGGUUUGAAGAGGAAAAGAGGCGCAAGCUUCUGCUGAUGGAUGGACCCGCGGUGCAUUAGCUAGUUGGUGAGGUAACGGCUCACCAAGGCCGUGAUGCAUAGCCGACCUGAGAGGGUGAUCGGCCACAUUGGGACUGAGACACGGCCCAAACUCCUACGGGAGGCAGCAGUAGGGAAUCUUCCGCAAUGGACGAAAGUCUGACGGAGCAACGCCGCGUGAGUGAAGAAGGUUUUCGGAUCGUAAAACUCUGUUGUUAGAGAAGAACAAGUGCUAGAGUAACUGUUAGCGCCUUGACGGUAUCUAACCAGAAAGCCACGGCUAACUACGU
rnacentral:rRNA from 1 species